rnacentral:rRNA from 1 species
UACGAAGGGGGCUAGCGUUGCUCGGAAUCACUGGGCGUAAAGGGUGCGUAGGCGGGUCUUUAAGUCAGGGGUGAAAUCCUGGAGCUCAACUCCAGAACUGCCUUUGAUACUGGGAGCCUUGAGUUCGGGAGAGGUGAGUGGAACUGCGAGUGUAGAGGUGAAAUUCGUAGAUAUUCGCAAGAACACCAGUGGCGAAGGCGGCUCACUGGCCCGAUACUGACGCUGAGGUGCGAAAGCGUGGGGAGCAAACAGG